UCGGAGGUGACGCCUGUGGAACGAGCGGCGGACGGGUGAGUAACACGUGGGCAACCUGCCUGUAAGACUGGGAUAACCCCGGGAAACCGGGGCUAAUACCGGAUAAUACUUUUCGUUGCAUAACGAGAAGUUGAAAGGCGGCUUUUAGCUGUCACUUACAGAUGGGCCCGCGGCGCAUUAGCUAGUUGGUAAGGUAACGGCUUACCAAGGCGACGAUGCGUAGCCGACCUGAGAGGGUGAUCGGCCACACUGGGACUGAGACACGGCCCAGACUCCUACGGGAGGCAGCAGUAGGGAAUCUUCCGCAAUGGACGAAAGUCUGACGGAGCAACGCCGCGUGAGUGAUGAAGGUUUUCGGAUCGUAAAACUCUGUUGUCAGGGAAGAACAAGUGCCGUUCAAAUAGGGCGGCACCUUGACGGUACCUGACCAGAAAGCCCCGGCUAACUACGUGCCAGCAGCCGCGGUAAUACGUAGGGGGCAAGCGUUGUCCGGAAUUAUUGGGCGUAAAGCGCGCGCAGGCGGUCCUUUAAGUCUGAUGUGAAAGCCCACGGCUUAACCGUGGAGGGCCAUUGGAAACUGGAGGACUUGAGUACAGAAGAGGAGAGUGGAAUUCCACGUGUAGCGGUGAAAUGCGUAGAGAUGUGGAGGAACACCAGUGGCGAAGGCGACUCUCUGGUCUGUAACUGACGCUGAGGUGCGAAAGCGUGGGGG
rnacentral:rRNA from 1 species